UACAGAGGUCCCGAGCGUUGUUCGGAUUCACUGGGCGUAAAGGGUGCGUAGGUGGCGUGGUAAGUUUGAUGUGAAAGCUCAGGGCUUAACCCUGAAAUGGCAUUGAAUACUACUGUGCUGGAGGUUUGGAGGGGGGACUGGAAUUCUUGGUGUAGCAGUGAAAUGCGCAGAUAUCAGGAGGAACACCGAUGGCGAAGGCAGGUCUCUGGGCCACUACUGACGCUGAGAAGCGAAAGCAUGGGGAGCGAACAGG
rnacentral:rRNA from 1 species